CAGCUAUAUCUCAUUGAAGCACUGGUUCUUGUAUGAUCAGCAAAGUUAAGCAACAUCAAGCCUGGACAGUACCUAGAUGGAUGACCAUUUGGGAAUACCAGGUGCUGUAAG